rnacentral:rRNA from 1 species
CAGUCGCCACGGUAAUACGGAGGGUGCGAGCGUUAAUCGGAAUUACUGGGCGUAAAGCGUACGCAGGCGGUUUGUUAAGUCAGAUGUGAAAUCCCCGAGCUUAACUCGGGAACUGCAUUUGAAACUAGCAGGCUAGAGUCUCGUAGAGGGGGGUAGGAUUCCAGGUGUAGCGGUGAAAUGCGUAGAGAUCUGGAGGAAUACCGGUGGCGAAGGCGGCCCCCUGGACGAAGACUGACGCUCAGGUACGAAAGCGUGGGGAGCAAACAGGAUUAGAUACCCCAGUAGUCCCUGUCUCUUAUAC